AAAUGCGAUAAGUAAUGUGAAAUGCAGAAUUCAGUGAAUCAUCGAAUCUUUGAACGCACAUUGCGCCCGCCAGCACUCUGGCGGGCAUGCCUGUUCGAGCGUCAUUUCAACCCUCAGAACCCCUUGCGGGAUCUGGCGUUGGGGAUUGGCAUCCAGCCAGCCCCGAAAUCUAGUGGCGGUCCCUCCGCGACCUCCCCUGUGCAGUAGCGAUACCUCGCAGCGGGACAGCGGUCUGACCACGCCGUAAAACCCCCAACUUCUCAAGGUUGACCUCGAAUCAGGUAGGAAUACCCGCUGAACUUAAGC
rnacentral:misc_RNA from 1 species